rnacentral:rRNA from 1 species
UCAGCCGCCGCGGUAAUGCCAGCAGCCCAAGUGGUGGUCGCGUUUAUUGGCCUAAAGCGCUCGUAGCCUGGCCGGUAAGUUCCCCGUGAAAUCGGGUCGCCCAACGAUUCGGCUUGCGGGGAAUACUGUCGGUCUUGGGGCCGGGAGACGCCGAGGGUACUCCGGGGGUAGCGGUGAGAUGCUGUAAUCCUCGGGGGACUACCAGUGGCGAAGGCGCUCGGCGAUAACGGGCCUGACGGUGAGGGGCGAAAGCUGGGGGCGCGAACGGGAUUAGAUACCCCGGUAGUCCCAGCCGUAAAGGAUGCGGGCAAGGUGCUCGUCGCUCUUCGAGGGCGUCGGGUGCCGUAGAGAAGUCGUUAAGCCCGCCGCCUGGGAAGUACGGUCGCAAGGCUGAAACUUAAAGGAAUUGGCGGGGGAGCACA